AUUGAACGCUGGCGGCAGGCCUAACACAUGCCAGUCGAGCGGAUGAAGGGAGCUUGAUCCUGGAUUCAGCGGCGGACGGGUGAGUAAUGCCUAGGAAUCUGCCUGGUAGUGGGGGAUAACGUCCGGAAACGGGCGCUAAUACCGCAUACGUCCAGAGGGUGAAAGUGGGGGUUCUUCGGACAUCACGCUAUCAGAUGAGCCUAGGUCGGAUUAGCUAGUUGGUGGGGUAAAGGCCUACCAAGGCGACGAUCCGUAACUGGUCUGAGAGGAUGAUCAGUCACACUGGAACUGAGACACGGUCCAGACUCCUACGGGAGGCAGCAGUGGGGAAUAUUGGACAAUGGGCGAAAGCCUGAUCCAGCCAUGCCGCGUGUGUGAAGAAGGUCUUCGGAUUGUAAAGCACUUUAAGUUGGGAGGAAGGGCAGUAAGUUAAUACCUUGCUGUUUUGACGGUACCAACAGAAUAAGCACCGGCUAACUUCGUG
rnacentral:rRNA from 1 species